rnacentral:rRNA from 1 species
UACGUAGGUGGCAAGCGUUGUUCGGAAUUACUGGGCGUAAAGCGUGCGCAGGCGGUUUUGUAAGUCUGUCGUGAAAGCCCCGGGCUCAACCUGGGAAUUGCGAUGGAGACUGCAAGGCUUGAAUCUGGCAGAGGGGGGUAGAAUUCCACGUGUAGCAGUGAAAUGCGUAGAGAUGUGGAGGAACACCGAUGGCGAAGGCAGCCCCCUGGGUCAAGAUUGACGCUCAUGCACGAAAGCGUGGGGAGCAAACAGG